CAGCCAAAGACUGUAUAUAUAAGGCAGCCCCGGUGUUGAUGUUUAACUGUUUACGAAACUGCGUGUUACCUGCAGCGCAGGUCAUCUCAUCCUCCGAGACAAACAGGAAGCGAACAUGGUCUGACUGCUAAUAAAAGCUAGCAUAUACGUGGUGAGGAAGAUCCGGGCUUCCGUUGCUGAGGGAGAGCAACUAGAGAAGCCCAUUAUAACACCAUGUAGUGCUAUUGCUGCAAGGAGAGCAGGCCAUGAAUUGAGAGAGAACACCUCAGCGGCCGCUCUGAUGUCAGGACCUGAUGAAGGUGUCAGCGGAGCAGCAGGCACGGGGACGUCCUCACAGACAGCUGUGCAGAAAUGCGGCUCCUGACGUUAAAGAUCAUGCUGGACACUGAGACUGUGGUCAACACACUGGAAAUACUUUUGCAAUGCAAAGCAAUAGUACACUCUUAUGGAUGAUCUCUUGUAUUUGCAUAAAUCACACACACACACGUAAUGUUCAACUUUAUUUUUUCCCAUACAGAAGUGACCAAACACGCUCUUUUGAACUGCAGUUAUUCCAGUGAUUAUCUCGAUCAAGUGUCUGCUGCACUCAGCGUCCCGCUCUUGUCGAUGAUGCACAUUUAGGCCUUUUUCACAGCAGAUAUUUUGACUUAUCACAUCAGUAAAAUACACAACUAUUAACCUUAACAACCAUUCUCCUCCAUUUUAGAUGUGCUAACAUUAUAGAGUCCUGCAAACUGUACGCUUGAAUGCAGAUAUUUAUGUUUUUAAAUUUAUUUGGUUGGUCAACAUAGUCUCAGUGAAAAAGGUCUAUUUUUAUAUACUGCAGUGUUUGAAGGCUGACUCACCAACCUCUCUCCUGGGGCUGAGCAGGCCUGAUGUUUCUGCUGGUGUAUCAAUAAAUGGAAAAAAAAAAA